UACAUAGGGUGCAAGCGUUGUCCGGAAUUAUUGGGCGUAAAGAGCUCGUAGGUGGUUCGUCACGUCGGAUGUGAAAAUCUGGGGCUCAACCCCAGACCUGCAUUCGAUACGGGCGAGCUAGAGUUUGGUAGGGGAGACUGGAAUUCCUGGUGUAGCGGUGGAAUGCGCAGAUAUCAGGAGGAACACCAAUGGCGAAGGCAGGUCUCUGGGCCAAUACUGACACUGAGGAGCGAAAGCGUGGGGAGCGAACAGG
rnacentral:rRNA from 1 species